GAUUGUGAGAGCAAUCUGGCUGUGACAUCUGUCACCCCAUUGAUCAUCAGGGUUGAUUCAGCUGAUCUGGCUGGCUAGGCGGGUGUCUCCUUCCUCCCUCACUGCUCCAUGUGCAUCUCUACUGAAGCAGCGCUCCAUUGAAGAGGAAGGCCUUCCUUGAAUAGAGGCAGACUUGUCUUCUCUUGAGGGUAUACAGGUAUGUGCACUCUCCUGCUAGAACUUUUAAACAAGAAAAAAAAAAAAAAAACUUAAGAUCGUCAUCUGUCAGUUAUUUCAGAAACAGGAAUGAUAUUCAGAACGUAAAAUAUCUUUCUAU
rnacentral:snRNA from 1 species